rnacentral:lncRNA from 1 species
UGGAUUUUACAUAUUCUUAGAGCCGUUACAAUCGAGUGGUCGACAUAAGAAUUUAUGUUGACUGUUGUUAGAGAAAGUACAAAGAAUAUUGUUUGCGGCUGAUUUUGGGUCAAUGAAUAAAAAACCACAAAACCAACCCAAGAUCAAUAAAUUUAUAUUUUUGUCGGGGAGCGGGGUACCUCGCUUGUUCGGCACGUGCGGGUUGUUUAGGCUUUUUGUGGAGUGAAGGAGAAUUGAGAUGACGGUGGUUAUGGAGGGAAUCUGACUUCAGGUGUGGAGGGCUGGUGAAACUCGCCUUAAACCUGCGAAACAACCAAAAAGAGGUCAAAGGUGGAGCCGGGGGUGGCCGACGACCACACUCCGACGCUCAAGUCAGAGUUGGGUUAUCUCAUGUUAGAGAGCUUGCAAGCUCUCGGUAAUGGAGAUUUUGAGGUUGAAGAAACCUUAGUUUUUUGUGGUGAGUGUGUUUACUUACUUGAUAAAAAUCAAACCUGAGUAUUUAUAUGGUGUACC